CCGCCCGUAGGACGUAGCGUGAGCGAUGAAGCCCUUCGGGGUGUAAAGCUCUUUCGGCAGGAACGAUAAUGACGGUACCUGCAGAAGAAGCUGCGGCUAACUACGUGCCAGCAGCCGCGGUAAUACGUAGGCAGCAAGCGUUGUUCGGAAUUACUGGGCGUAAUGAGUGUGUAGGUGGUGUCGUAAGUUUGGUGUGAAAUCUCCCGGCUUAACUGGGAGGGUGCGCCGAAGACUGCGAUGCUUGAGUAUG
rnacentral:rRNA from 1 species